rnacentral:rRNA from 1 species
AGGGAAAGCUGGAGGCAGGCCUAACACAUGCAAGUCGAACGGUAACAGGAAGAAGCUUGCUUCUUUGCUGACGAGUGGCGGACGGGUGAGUAAUGUCUGGGAAACUGCCUGAUGGAGGGGGAUAACUACUGGAAACGGUAGCUAAUACCGCAUAACGUCGCAAGACCAAAGAGGGGGACCUUCGGGCCUCUUGCCAUCGGAUGUGCCCAGAUGGGAUUAGCUAGUAGGUGGGGUAACGGCUCACCUAGGCGACGAUCCCUAGCUGGUCUGAGAGGAUGACCAGCCACACUGGAACUGAGACACGGUCCAGACUCCUACGGGAGGCAGCAGUGGGGAAUAUUGCACAAUGGGCGCAAGCCUGAUGCAGCCAUGCCGCGUGUAUGAAGAAGGCCUUCGGGUUGUAAAGUACUUUCAGCGGGGAGGAAGGGAGUAAAGUUAAUACCUUUGCUCAUUGACGUUACCCGCAGAAGAAGCACCGGCUAACUCCGUG